AAGGACGAUGUUUGAUUCUUGGGGUUAGUCGCCCUCUUAACACAACCAUUUUCCAUUCCGUUGUGUUGUUAAAACACCACAUUCGACGAUACCACGCAUCUAUGUGGCAUGCCAUACAAUAUGUAAAUAUGUAUGGAGCGUCGCAACGCAUUUAAGAGCCAUAGCAUACGGAUGGCUCAUCGUAUACAAUAUACAUCCUUCACACGAGAAGAUCUAUAAGUAAAAAAUCAUAACACGUUAAUAUUAUGAUUGUGCAAUGUUAUACGACCUACAUUAGUAUAUUUGUGAACAAUUAACUUCAAAGCAAGAUGCUGCGUUACCGUGAAUUUAGUAGUAUAAAUCUAAAGAACUUAUUUAAGAAUAAAAAAGAGCCUAAUUCUCGCACCUCGACUCUGAGAGUCUCGACUCUGUUGAAGAGCUGACAUUUGACACAAAAAGUAUGCGUGCGAGCGAGACCAACUGACAAUAAAAAUCGAGUUCCCAGGCUCAAGAAUUGGGUUCUAGAUCGAGUUUACAGAAGCUAUUAAAAACGUUACCUUCAGCAAGGACGAAUUUAUGUAACGUAUCUCUCAAUCUUCUGACUCAAUGGACGGUGUUAUGGGCUAUGCAAUUUUCUGCAGCACAAGUCUACUACUGUUUUAGAUAUUAUAACGAUAAGUACCUAAUAUUAUACGGUAUAUCUGCUGGAUUAGAAUCACAUAUUAUAGAGGUUAUGUAACUCAAAGUAUAUUUGUAUAAAACCUAUUUAUAUAGUUGUUGACAUAUAGAGAUCUAUUUCACAACACAAAUUUAUCUGAUACUGCCUUCAAACAUAACCAGUAAAGUGCUUUGAGAGGGCGUGGUUUCCUUGCUUCUGUGAUACAAUAUGUUAUAUCGUAAAGGAGUAUGCAUUUAUUUUAUAUUCUAACGAGCGUGAAGCCUCUAACAGACGACGACAUUGGAGUCUUUCGAUAAAAUAAGGAAAUAUUGUAAGAAGAUUGUAAAUGCUUUCUUACGCCGUCUUUCUCUGACUUGGGAGGGAGUUGUUUGGUGAAGUUUUGUCUUUUUCUGUUAUUACAUAUAAGAACGAGACAACUAUAUCGAGAGACUUUUGUGAUUCAUAUUCUUUUCUUAUUAGAACAUUAUGAAAAAAAGAGCAAAAUUGCGCUAAAAAUAAUAAUUAUUUUAUAUAGUCAUGUUGUCUGUUUUAGGCCUGCAAAUCAUAAACUUAAUACUGAAAGAUUUAUUAAUAACCACAAUAAUGUAAUACUUACAAAUAAAUGUAAUUUAAUCGAAGUCACAAAUUAAUUUUUGGUCUCAAAAUCUGUUUUCAAUAUUUACAAUUUUUUAUCUCUUUUUAAAUUUGUGUAUUAAUAAUUUUAAUUAUUAAGACUUGUGAAUGUAUUGCUUUUUACUCUACACAUAGUGACGUUUUAAAAGUAUAUAGCUAGUCAAAUCCCGGGUUCUUAGAAAUGCACAAAGAUGUGUUUUUAAAUUGGGUCUUGUAAGACUAAAGGACUAAAUAAGGCAUAUCUUGUAUGGUAGCUUCGAUACUUAUAUUCUUCUGUAUUGACUUUUGACCGGAUCAAUCGCAGUAUCAGGCAUUUUUGCAAUAGCAUCACGUUGUUACUAUUAAAUAUUGUAGUAAACUAUUAAGCCUGCAUAAGACUCAUCGUAUUAAUGUUCUCAGCGUGAAUAGAUAAUGCAACAUAUAGAAACGAUAACGAAUUUAGACAAAGAAAAAAUUAAACUUACUACGUUCUCACGCUCGUGUCCUUGCGCUAUCGUCUAUCGAUUUUUAACUUCGAUAUCGUUUCGAUAUUGUGCAUCGUCUAAGCACGCUCUGUCGUAGUCGAAAUUGAAGUAUGUUACCGACUUUGUAUUGUGCCAUAUUGACGCAUUAGCUAGCUGUAGUCCUAAGUCUUACGUCGCGUACUUUCGAACACGGAUUUUUCGAAUUUCUCGUAUUAUUUUUAUUGAAUUACCGCUUAUUUUGUAUUAUAGGUCUGAACGAUUGUAAUUAUAGAUAGGAGCCCCCGAGCUCUAGAUUAACGUUCGGGCGAUAGUCUCCUUGCAAGUUCUGAGCUGGCUUUCGGCAGCGAAGUAGGUAUAGUUUACUGCUAGUACCACAUUAUGUAAAGUUAUAUAGUGCUUAUAAAUAAUGCAAUAUCUCACGUGGAAUACAUUGUAUAUAAUAUUGCUUAUUUUUUGUUACUCGGACGGUUGAUGUCUCAUGUCUAGCGCCUGCGUUGUUCUGAAGGCUAUCGAGUUACUGAAAAAUAAAUAUCAAAAUUAUCCGUUGGAUUAAUGCGAAUACCAA